GACGAACGCUGGCGGCGUGCCUAAUACAUGCAAGUAGAACGCUGAAGGAGGAGCUUGCUUCUCUGGAUGAGUUGCGAACGGGUGAGUAACGCGUAGGUAACCUGCCUGGUAGCGGGGGAUAACUAUUGGAAACGAUAGCUAAUACCGCAUAAUAUUGACUAUUGCAUGAUAGUCAGUUGAAAGGUGCAACUGCACCACUACCAGAUGGACCUGCGUUGUAUUAGCUAGUUGGUGGGGUAACGGCUCACCAAGGCGACGAUACAUAGCCGACCUGAGAGGGUGAUCGGCCACACUGGGACUGAGACACGGCCCAGACUCCUACGGGAGGGAGCAGUAGGGAAACUUCGGCAAUGGACGGAAGUCUGACCGAGCAACGCCGCGUGAGUGAAGAAGGGUUUCGGAUCGUAAAGCUCUGUUGUAAGAGAAGAACGAGUGUGAGAGUGGAAAGCUCACACUGUGACGGUAUCUUACCAGAAAGGGACGGCUAACUACGUG
rnacentral:rRNA from 1 species